GUCCGUUCAUCCCCUUGGGGACGCAUGAUAACCUAGCAUGGAACGGGGCUAGG
ncrna:unclassified sequences Glutamine-II riboswitch (downstream peptide RNA)